UUCAGUAGCUGGAGAUUCCCGCAGCUGCCCCACGUUGGGGGUAGGGCUGGGCAUUUGUUCCUCCCCUAUUGUUCAGUCAUUGGCUGUGGGCGGCCCCAGGAAGAAGGUGUGACCUUGGGUGGGGCAGUCUUCUUCAGCCAAUCCUCAGAAAGGACUAACAGCACUCUCAGCAGAGGGAGACUGAGUCCUUCAUUCCUGGGAGGUGUCUGGGAAGCUCAUCGCAGUGUGCACCGCAGCAGGGCUUGAUCCACCACAUCACAUUCCGCGUUCGCUGCUGCCUGAACUCAUCAAAGUGGACCCAGUGAAAGCUGUGUUGAGGAGAACUGUUCUGGUGCUGAGGCUGGGUACAUUCAUGAGGCCAGGAACAUGAGACUGAAUUCCAAGCAGAGCACCAGGAUAGCUGUAGCAAAAAUCCAGCAACACAAAAUGGACUAAGACACCCAGCAACCCCCAGGAGCAUCAGGGAAGCAGGCAUGAGGUACCUGCUGGGCCCACCGUGCUCACUGCUUUCUCACUGCGUCUGGAGGUCCUGAGUUCACAACAAUGAGAAGUUUUGAGCUGGAUAAAACUGUUCAUUUAUGGAGCAUAUUGGAAAAGGAGGGAUCACACAUGUCUCAGAAACAAUGGGAUGCAUUUCCUGUUUGGUAGAGGGAGGCUUCUAAAAGGUUGAUUGGUUACAAAAUUGCCUCUCUAAAAGACUCCUUUCUAAAGGCAAAUAAGGAAACUGAAAAGCUUAAGAGAUGAAUUAAAGACGAAAAUAAAAAUAAUUAUAUGGUAACUGA